rnacentral:rRNA from 1 species
GCAAGUCGAGCGAGACGGUUAUGAAGGAUUCUUCGGAUGAUUGCUUAACUAGAAAGCGGCGGACGGGUGAGUAACGCGUGGGUAACCUACCUUUCACACAGGGAUAGCACUUGGAAACGAUGAUUAAUACCUGAUGACACAUAAUGAUCACAUGUUCGUUAUGUCAAAGAUUUAUCGGUGAGAGAUGGACCCGCGUCUGAUUAGCUAGUUGGAGAGAUAAAAGCUCCCCAAGGCGACGAUCAGUAGCCGACCUGAGAGGGUGAUC